CCCCUGAUAUCGUCGUAACACUGCUGCACCCUUUUAUAAUUUUCCGGUGUUUUAAAUUUUUAUUAUUGUGUGUGAGACAUUAUUUCACAAUUAGUGUGCUUUUCGAAUAGUGUCCAAUUGUCGGGAGAUUUUCAUUAAUUUUCGUGACUGAAGACAUUUGAUUUUUCUUUUACGAAAUCAACCAAAAAGUGAUUAAACUUUCGCCAAGUGAUUUUUUUUUUGUUGGUUCCACGGGAUUUUUUUCCCUUACUUGCUUGAGAAAAAGAACAUUAUUUCGGUGGUAGCGAAGAGCUAAAAAGAAAAAAAAAAUCGAGGUAUACAUUUCGCGUGUAUGUGUGUGGUGGCUUACCGAUUAUGGCAUUGUAGUGACGAUUUACUAGAGCUUUUCAAGUAAAUUGAUACGUGAUAUUUUGCGGCGGUAAAAGGAAAAGAAUCUCAUCAACGCUUUUGUAUACGAUAGCCCUAUUCGAAAAGAUAAGAGCUGUUCAUCCUGUGAAUAUAUUUAUAAUAGAAAAGAAAAAAACGUAAAGCCAUUGAAAAGAUAGUAAAUUUAAAAAAAUGGCCUGGGGCUAUUGGAGUGCUACAGCAGUUGACAGAGGACGUUCACCGCGACGCAAUACACAAUGUACAGCUGUGCCUAUAAACGCUGUACCGCAAUCGGAACCACCUGCCCCUACAUGCUAUAGUCCGUGUAGAAGUCGCUGCAGCAGUCCAUGCCAUAGUCCAUGUUCGGAAAGUCCGUGUCCCGAUAGCCCACCACCAACUCCUCAUGCCAAUACGUCGCACUCAUCAACGAACGAAGAAUUUUCAAGACGUCCAUCGAUUGAUCGGUUAGAUAGUCCUCAGUCCCAUGAUUUCGUCGGAAUACAGGCGAAUCAACUAUCCGACAUUUUAUGCCGCGGUGCUGUUGUAUCGUCAAUACAAUCAACAAACAAUACGCUAACGAGAAACGCUUCGAUGCGCGAUACCGGUGACUAUGACGUUCCUCAUCCACAUCCAUACACACAUCACUACAUGACAACGUCAACGGCUGCUACACCGCAAGCAAUGAGCAUUGUUGGAUCGCGUCCCGGAUCGGCCGGUGGUUCAGGAUCUGGAUCGAGUCCUGGCGGUUGCAUGAGUGGCGGAAGUUGUGAAGGCGGCAGUAUUAAUAGUAUUUUGAAUACGGCAGGCAUAAGUUAUUUAGAAUGUAUGCAUUACGAAAGAAUGCCGAUACCAGUUCCUAUACCCAUUGUUCCACCGCCACAAGUACAUACACAGUUUCAUUCGGAGGAAGAGAUCGAGCCAGCCUAUGCCACAGUAUUUCCAAAUGCGCCGUCACAGCCGGGGAUGUCAUGUGUUGGAGAGGAUAGGAGCAUCUAUCGAAGGGGAGCGAGAAGGUGGAGAAAAUUAUACAGAAUUAACGGCCAUAUCUUCCAGGCGAAACGUUUUAAUAGGAAAGCAUUCUGUGCAUACUGCCAUGACCGAAUCUGGGGUCUUGGACGUCAGGGUUUCAAAUGCAUUCAAUGCAAAUUACUUGUCCAUAAGAAGUGCCACAAAUUAGUGCAAAAGUCUUGUACGAAUGAGCACGUCGAGCCUGUCCUAAUCAAAGAACGUGAAGAUGUAAACGGUGAAUCGCAUCACGAACCGAGACCAGUGCAACCGGACUAUCCACCUGUACUCGAUAAUCGCGGUGAUGCGGCGGCUAUUGAUGCGGCUCAGACUGCUGAAGAACAAUUAGAAGUCGGAACACAGCGUCAAUAUUCUUUGGAUGACUUCGACCUCAUUCGUGUCAUCGGUCGUGGAAGUUACGCCAAAGUAUUAAUGGUUGAAUUGCGCCGCAAUGGUCGUAUUUAUGCGAUGAAAGUUAUUAAGAAAGCAUUGGUCACGGACGAUGAAGAUAUUGAUUGGGUGCAAACGGAAAAACAUGUCUUUGAGACGGCAUCAAAUCAUCCAUUUUUAGUUGGAUUGCAUUCAUGCUUCCAAACCCCAUCGAGACUGUUCUUUGUUAUCGAAUUCGUUCGCGGCGGUGAUUUAAUGUUUCAUAUGCAGAGGCAAAGACGGUUGCCGGAAGAGCAUGCACGAUUUUAUGCAGCUGAAAUUAGUUUAGCUCUAAACUUUUUGCACGAGAAGGGUAUAAUUUACAGAGAUUUAAAGUUGGACAACGUUUUACUGGAUCAUGAAGGUCAUAUUAAACUUACUGAUUAUGGAAUGUGCAAGGAAGGUAUUCGACCUGGUGAUACAACAGCGACUUUCUGCGGUACACCAAAUUACAUAGCACCGGAAAUAUUGCGCGGCGAAGAUUAUGGUUUCUCAGUAGAUUGGUGGGCUUUAGGCGUUUUGCUAUACGAAAUGCUUGCCGGACGAAGUCCGUUCGACGUUGAACGAGCUUCCGAAAAUCCCGAUCAAAACACCGAAGACUUUUUGUUCCAAAUUAUUCUGGAGAAAACUAUUCGUAUACCGCGAUCGCUUAGUGUUAAGGCUGGCCAAGUACUUCGAGGUUUUCUCAACAAGAAUCCGGCUGAUCGUUUGGGAUGCCAUCGUGAAUCGUCAUUUAGCGAGAUAACCAGUCAUACAUUCUUCAAAUCGAUUGAUUGGGAACUGCUAUUGCAAAAGCAAAUACAACCUCCGUUCCGACCUCGAUUAGAAUCAGACCGAGAUUUGGCUAAUUUCCCACCAGAAUUUACAGAUGAAGAAGUUGUACUGACACCGGAUGAUGAACGUGUCAUAAACAAUAUCGAUCAAUCGGAAUUCGAAGGAUUUGAAUAUGUGAAUCCAUUGUUGAUGUCGCUAGAGGAUUGCGUCUGACAUCACGCAUCAUGCGAGCUGCAUCCGUACAAUAUGCAGAGAUACAGAAAUGCGAAAUACUUUCAGCAGCAAGCCGGACUAAAUAAUUAAUCGAUUCACAUUACAUGCAACGUGUCUGCAAUAUGGCACAGCUAUACGGAGAUGAUUCAAGCGACUAUGAUUCUGUUGCUGAAGAACUCAGCAUUCUCCAUUUACCUCCUCCAUCAUCCAAAAGUCUACUUCAGCACAUGUUUUGCCUUCCAUUGAAUUAAGCGAUUUUUAUGAAUUUUAACACUGAAAUCUAAAACUAACAAAAGAAAUAAAAGUUAAAAAGAAAAUGAUUGGAUAAUUUAACCCUCCCCUCUAACUUAUUUGCACGUACUAUUUCUGGGCGAGGAUUUUGCAGUAUUACAAGGGCGAUAGGAUAUUCUUUCUAUUAAGUUUAAAGUUGUAAAGACAUCAAAAACUUGACUGUUACAUAAACGUACUCAACCAUGCGAACAUAGUCUCUAAGUGUAUAUCUUCAAUCGGUAAAUCAAUUAAAUUAUAUCGUUCGUGAUCAAUAACAUUCCGUUCAAUACCAUACGUGUGUAAUGCUACUCAAGCUAUAACAAAGCACCGACCUGUACUUCUAACCAAAUCAAAUAUACCUAUCGUCCGAAUAAAAUUUCAUUUCGUGUCUACUUGAAAAGACCUGACAGCUUGAAGUAUCUUCAACAAAUUUCGCCUCGAAUCAAUAACAUUUCAGCCAUUUCAAACUAUGAACAUGUCAGUGUUUUUUUCGUUCAUCAUCGGGAAAGUUUUUUUUAUUAUUCUUUACAUCAAUUCGAAUUUAUACGUUGGUGUCGUGCGGUUAAUAUCAUGUUUUAAGCACUCGAGCUCACAUUCCACUGACAAAAUUAUGUUUUUAAAACAAGGAGCUAAAGACCACACAUACACACGUCCUUGUCAAGAUUACCAUUCACAGCCUUUUUCUUAGCUUGAAAUGGAAUGUGUUCGUGAAAUGAACACAUUCCAUUUAAAAAAGAAAAUUGUAAAUCAAUUGAAAUUAUUCGAAUUUAAAAGUCAUUUGUAAACAUAAAAAAAUUUGAAAAUUUAAUUAAUUUAAAUGACACGAACAACCAGAUGAAAUUUUACGAAGCAAUGUAUAGUAUUACAAUUGUAGAAUGAUUUUGAAUUGUGUUUAAAUAUCAUUUUAUCGAAAUGACUAAACUAAAUUAAUCAUUAAAAAGGAAAGGAAAGAAAACAAAAAUGAAGAAACUAAAACGCUUUGACCUUUCAUGCCAUGGAAGAAUUAUUAAAUAAAAUUAAAAACAAACAAAUUAUUCAGCGAGAAAAAAAUCAACCGAUAAAAAUAUAAAUCGUUUCCCCAUUACCCCGUUUUAAUUGUUAACGUUGAGCUAAUCUAAUCAAAUUACCUAUCCGCUUUAUAAUUACUGUAAGGUUAUCGAACUUAAUUGCAGGUUUCUUUGUGUAUUCAGAAUCAUUAUUAGAAGUGCGGCUAGUUUUUUUUUGUUAUCGACAGCACUGACCCUCUAAAUGUUUAUGGCCAAAAGAAAAUAUAUUCCUAGACCAUAACACGGGCAGCAAGUAAGAGACGAAAUGUUCGAGUCGACUGGGAUUUGGAAUCUAUUGUUGUAUACGUAUGAACAGUGUGACGAUGUUUGAUUUGAUUCGUCUUUCUACAAGUAUCUUCUGUUUCGGUGAUACUUUAAAGAAAACUUUCAUUCUCACAAAAAUGCUGUGAACAUACGAUGGUUAACAUAAGCUGCAAUGCUAACUACCACAUACGGACUAUAGUGUCCGAGUCGUAUCUUGUUAGAAAAUAUCAUUAAGAUCUGACCAUAAAUGAAAGAAGUGUUCGUUAUUAUAAAGGACCGUCACUUCGUUAGUAUUGAGAUUAUUCAGUCAAACACUUUCUCUGGUAUCACCGUAAGAUUCUAUAAGAACAGUUGCCGAAGCAAGUUUGCUCAAACACUAGUGAAUUCGCGAGUAUCACAAAGUUGCUUUCGAAGUAAUGAAGUACGUAGCAUCAUCAAAUGCAUUCUCGGCUACUACUGUCCCAUGCGGAAGUUGAUUCUUACUAAGAAAAUGAAAAAAAAAAUUAACCGAAAAUAGUCCAAUGUAAUGGAUCAUUUUUGCAGGUGGAAAAUUGCUAUGUAAUGGUCAACUUUCGCAUGGGGCAGGUAUAAAAUGAAAGAACAGUGAUGCAAUAGUGGGAGACGAAUGUAGAUUAUUUUACAGUAAAAAAGGACUACGGAAAGAUAGGAUAAAAUGUGGAUAAAAGCAAACACAUCUAAGAGACGCAACGUUACAGUUAAACAAUUAUGUUAAUUGAAAAGCUCAAAUUGUAUAAAUUUAGAAAAGAAAAAUGAGAAUGGGGAUGGAUGUGACUCAAUUAGAAAAAGAAAAAGAAAAACAAACAAAAUGUUUCGAUGAAUGAACUUGUACACAGUGUAUUUUAGGUAAAUAAAAAUUAUGAAUAUUUUGUAAAGUUUUAGAUAUUAGGAGUGGGUGGAACCACGCCCAGCACCUAAGCCUCCGUGAAGUUUAGUAAAUGAAACAAGAGAAGAAAAAUUAAAAAAUUAAAUUUAAAUUUAAACAAAUUCACUGUAGUUAAAUGUUAAAUGGUUUUUUUGGGGGUGAGAUAUUAAAAAUUUGAUUUUAUAUUUGUUCUUCUAUGGCAACUAUAACCUUCACGAAUUUAUUUGUUAGAAGAUGAAGAUGAAAUAAUCUAAUUUUUCACCUGUUAAAGUUUCUUUUUUUUAUGUCAAUAUGGCAAUACUAAUGCUGAAGUUUUCAUUUUUAAAUAUUUAGUAGAUUUAUAUUAUAAUUGAGAAAAUCAAAGUAUUUCUUCGUAUUCUAUUUUGUUUAAAUUAUUUUAUCAAUAUACCUAACAAGUAAAGUAAAAAAAAAAACUUUUAGAUUAAAACGAUUGUUUUGUUUUUACAUUUUUAACAUUAUUAAUGAUGUAAAGACACAAAACAUACACAGACACGAACACAGAACCAUAAGUAUAUUUUACUAAAAUUAUUUUAAAAAUUUAUCCGCAUUUAGUUCACAGAUUUUAGUAUUUAUAUUUUAUGUUAAAAAGUAUUCCGUCGUAUCGUUGUUAACGCAACAUUAAUUUUUUAUUAUUAAUUUUAGUGACAAGAAAAAUAAUCUUUUAAAGAUUCUAUAUCUCGUUUCUGCAGCACAUUUUUUUUUUAAAUUGAUUCUUUCCUUUUACAAUUAAAAUUCUCCGUAAAAAAUGUUUUAAAACAAAAAAAGAUGAAUAAACUUGAAUUCAAAGAAACAUUUCCAUUAUAAAUUGUUAUUUAAUAAUCACUGUUCUAAAAAUAAAACAAAAAAGAAAAAUGAAAAAAGCGUUUAUCUAUUAAAAUAUAUUAGUUUUAGCAAUAUUAUAAUUAAAUAAAAAACAAAAAAAAACAAAAUAUUCCCCCAAGAGAAAGCCACAAACACACAACACACAAUUUAACAACUUUUUUUGUUCUAAAACGAGUAUUAAAAAUUAUAAAAAGAAAUGCAAAAAAAACAUUAAAUAAAAAUUAUAACAAAAAAAAAACAUUUAAAACAAAAGAAAAAAAAUGUUAUUCACACUUGCACAUUCCGGAAAAGAUUAUAUGAACUAAAACAUAAGGUGGUUUAUUGAAACAAGGAAAAAAAUCAGUAAUGUUCACGUUGAUAUAUGAAUUCUAUGAAAUUAAUUUUAUAUAAAUUGCUGAAAAAUAAAUACAAAAAAAAAA